UACGGAGGGUGCGAGCGUUAAUCGGAAUUACUGGGCGUAAAGCGCGCGUAGGCGGUUUGGUAAGCUGGAUGUGAAAGCCCUGGGCUCAACCUGGGAACUGCAUCCAGAACUGCCAAGCUAGAGUAUGGUAGAGGGCAGUGGAAUUUCCGGUGUAGCGGUGAAAUGCGUAGAGAUCGGAAGGAACACCAGUGGCGAAGGCGACUGCCUGGACCAAUACUGACGCUGAGGUGCGAAAGCGUGGGGAGCAAACAGGAUUAGAAACCCGAGUAGU
rnacentral:rRNA from 1 species